rnacentral:tRNA from 1 species
AAGAGAGUAUGCAAGAGCUGCUAACUCAUGCCCCCAUGCAUAACAACAUGGCUUUCUU